rnacentral:rRNA from 1 species
UACGAAGGGGGGCUAGCGUUGCUCGGAAUCACUGGGCGUAAAGCGCACGUAGGCGGAUUGUUAAGUCAGGGGGUGAAAUCCUGGAGCUCAACUCCAGAACUGCCUUUGAUACUGGCGAUCUUGAGUCCGGGAGAGGUGAGUGGAACUGCGAGUGUAGAGGUGAAAUUCGUAGAUAUUCGCAAGAACACCAGUGGCGAAGGCGGCUCACUGGCCCGGUACUGACGCUGAUGUGCGAAAGCGUGGGGAGCAAACAGG